AGGCCACUAGCUCAAUGGUAGAGCAUCGGUCUCCAAAACCGAGGGUUGGGGGUUCGAGUCCCUCGUGACCUG
rnacentral:tRNA from 1 species